rnacentral:rRNA from 1 species
GCAAGUCGAGGGGCAGCAUUUCUAGCUUGCUAGAAGAUGGCGACCGGCGCACGGGUGCGUAACGCGUAUACAACCUACCUAUAACAGGAGGAUAGCCCAGAGAAAUUUGGAUUAAUACUCCGUAGUACUAUUUAACCGCAUGGUUUGAACAGUUAAAGCUUCGGUGGUUAUAGAUGGGUAUGCGUAAGAUUAGCUAGUUGGUAAGGUAACGGCUUACCAAGGCGACGAUCUUUAGGGGGCCUGAGAGGGUGAUC